AAAUUCCGAAAGUGAGUGACACAAGAUGGCUCUCAAUGGAAUUGGCAGUAUCUCGUAUAUUGGAACAGUGGGAAGAACUAAAGUUGCAUUUUGGAUUAGCAGCAACGAAAGAAAAAUGCUUUAAAGCUCAAAUGUUAAAUCAAAUGUAUAGUGAUGAACGAUUUAACUUUUGCAAUAAAUUCGUUGAAAAUUGCAAUCAUUCCUUCUGAAACGGAAAUUAUUAUUUUUGAAACGGACGACAUUGAAAAACAUGCGGAUAGGAAUCUUUAUAAAGGAUACGACUUUGAAAAAAAGAUUAAAACUCUAAAUAUUAGCUCUAAUGUGGGAGAAAUGCUUCGUGACCGCUGCACAAAUUUCGUGAUUGAGCUGAUUAAGCAAUUAAAACAGAGACUACCAGAUAAUUUUGAAACUUUAAAGCAGGUUGACGUUUUUUCUGUCGACAAAAUCUUGUGCGCUAAGAAAAAAGGGAUAAGCGAAAUUUUGGAGUAUCUUAAAGUAGAAAACAUUUCUGAAAUUGAACGCCAAUAUAGCGAUAUUCAAUUGAUUAAAUGGGAAAAUACCAGCAACACAUCAAGGUUUUGGACAGAGGUUUUCUGUUACAAAUAUUCUGGUGGCAACCGCAGAUGCUAUCAUUGCCGUGGUCAAAUGCGGAAAUUGAGCGCGUGUUUAGCCAGGUUAAUCUGAUCAAGUCAAAAUUAAGGAAUUCCAUUAACCUGAGCACACUCAACAGUAUUUUACUCAUAAGGUAUGGCUUGCGAAGACUUGGGAAAUGCUGCUUUGACUACGAAUGAUUGGUACGCAUGAUUGGUACGUCCAUGUCGUACGAUUGCGAAUCUGAAGUAAAUCCCGCAGAACUUGAUGAGAUAAUGGAGUUAAUGUAAAAAACAUAUUAAAUAUUAACUUAAAAAAAAAUUAAUUA